AUACUUACCUGGCGGCGGGGAUACCGUGAUCAGAAGGCGGUGCCUCCCAGACGAGGCGCCUGUACAGUUGCACCCGUAUGGCUGACUCCUGCGACUACCGCCAAAUCGGGGUGGGCUCGAUGCGGCAUAAUUUUUGGUAAGUGGGGACAAAGCGUUCGCGCUGUCCCUUU
rnacentral:snRNA from 1 species